UAACCUUUCAGACGAGGAUAACAGUUGGAAACGACUGCUAAGACUGGAUAGGAAGUUUUAAGGCAUCUUGAAACUUUUAAAAGACCCGCAAGGGUAUGCUGAGAGAUGGGCUUGCGGCACAUUAGUUAGUUGGUAAGGUAACGGCUUACCAAGACCAUGAUGUGUAGCUGGACUGAGAGGUUGAACGGCCACAUUGGGACUGAGAUACGGCCCAAACUCCUACGGGAGGCAGCAGUAAGGAAUUUUCGGCAAUGGAGGAAACUCUGACCGAGCAACGCCGCGUGAACGAUGAAGUAUUUAGGUAUGUAAAGUUCUUUUAUUAAAGAAGAAAAAAUGAUGGAAAAAUCAUUCUGACGGUAUUUAAUGAAUAAGCCCCGGCUAACUAUGUGCCAGCAGCUGCGGUAAUACAUGGGGGGCAAGCGUUAUCCGGAUUUAUUGGGCGUAAAGGGUGCGUAGGCGGUUUAAUAAGUCUAUGGUCUAAGUUCAACGCUUAACGUUGUGAUGCUAUAGAAACUGUUUGACUAGAGUUGGAUAGAGGCAAGUGGAAUUCCAUGUGUAGCGGUAAAAUGCGUAAAGAUAUGGAGGAACACCAGUAGCGAAGGCGGCUUGCUGGGUCUUAACUGACGCUGAGGCACGAAAGCGUGGGGAGCAAACAGGAUUAGAUACCCUGGUAGUCCACGCCGUAAACGAUGAGUACUAAGUGUUGGGUUAAACCAGUGCUGAAGUUAACGCAUUAAGU
rnacentral:rRNA from 1 species